rnacentral:rRNA from 1 species
UCGCCCUUAGAGUUUGAUCCUGGCUCAAGACGACCUCUGGCGGCGCGCCUAACACAUGCAAGUCGAACGAGCGAGAGAGAGCUUGCUUUCUUGAGCGAGUGGCGAACGGGUGAGUAACGCGUGAGGAACCUGCCUCAAAGAGGGGGACAACAGUUGGAAACGACUGCUAAUACCGCAUAAGCCCACGGCUCGGCAUCGAGCAGAGGGAAAAGGAGCAAUCCGCUUUGAGAUGGCCUCGCGUCUGAUUAGCUAGUUGGUGAGGUAACGGCCCACCAAGGCGACGAUCGGUAGCCGGACUGAGAGGUUGAACGGCCACAUUGGGACUGAGACACGGCCCAGACUCCUACGGGAGGCAGCAGUGGGGAAUAUUGCACAAUGGGGGAAACCCUGAUGCAGCGACGCCGCGUGGAGGAAGAAGGUCUUCGGAUUGUAAACUCCUGUUGUUGAGGAAGAUAAUGACGGUACUCAACAAGGAAGUGACGGCUAACUACGUGCCAGCAGCCGCGGUAAAACGUAGGUCACAAGCGUUGUCCGGAAUUACUGGGUGUAAAGGGAGCGCAGGCGGGAAGACAAGUUGGAAGUGAAAUCCAUGGGCUCAACCCAUGAACUGCUUUCAAAACUGUUUUUCUUGAGUAGUGCAGAGGUAGGCGGAAUUCCCGGUGUAGCGGUGGAAUGCGUAGAUAUCGGGAGGAACACCAGUGGCGAAGGCGGCCUACUGGGCACCAACUGACGCUGAGGCUCGAAAGUGUGGGUAGCAAACAGGAUUAGAUACCCUGGUAGUCCACACUGUAAAC